CCUUUCGGUACCCCUGACGGGAAGGAGAACUGCAGAAGUCGACGAAGUCGAACGAGGAGGCCCCUUUUCCGUACCCCAUACUGCAAAGUGCCAUUGAUGGAUACCUUUUGCACCUGGAACGACCCCUUAAACGCUGUCGCGGCGACUAUCCCGUACGCGAAAUAGUUGAGAACUGCUGACGUGGACCUUUUGCACCUGGAACGGCCCCGUAAACGCUGUCGUGUCGGCGGAGUGAAUGUGCAGGGUAUUAGUCUAGGGUGAAAAGAAUUGCUGCAAAGACGUCCCCUCUACUAGGCUCUAGGCCUUUGCCUUUGGAGACAUCGUCGGCGAACUGAAUGCGCAGGGCGAAAAGAAUUGCUGCAAAGACGUCCGCUCUAGGCCUUUGGAGACAUCGUGGGAACUCCUUCCGGUACUAUACAAACUGCUGACGUGGCCGUGGACAUGUACAUGGAGAGUCAUGGUGGGACUUCAUGUACAUGGAUACAUGGUGGGAAUUCCUUCCGCCACCCCCGUACCGCAAAGCCAACGGUGGGGAAGGAGAAGUGCAGACGUGCAGGAAGACGAACGAGGAGGAACCAGGACGAGCGAGCAAUGGCAGGACUAGCUGGACCGAGGGAAAAUAUUGCUGCGAAGACGUCUCCUCUAGACGACGGUAUAUCAUCCCGUGACGACCACAUUGAAGUCUGAAUUUGAAGUGUGAAGAUGCUUCAGCAACCACAUCGUACUUUUCCAUUGCUUUCAUUGUGCUUCUACUGUGCAUGUGUGUAACUUGUGGGGUAAACAUGUGAUGACAUUGUAUGCUGGCGACACGGUCAGAUGUUCAUGCGUCUAACGUACACCUGCAUGUUAUGCAUUGAAAAGGGUUUGCCACUUGCGAUCCUGGGACGAGUAUCAGGUCCGCUUUGUCCUGUGUGGGCUGUAUCAGAUUGCUGUUCACUUCUCUAUCUGUUGGAUAUGUGACUUUCUGCAAGUUUCUGGUGUAUGAUGGCCACGUCCUUGCUUGUCACUUUGUAUGAUAAUUCUGUAUUCGCUGCUUCCAUGGCAUGGUCUGCAAACUGCAAUCCUUGGGCAAAUGUCAUGUUUGCUAUGUUGUGCUUUGGCCGUCAGCUUGUCUACACGCUGUAGUUGAAUUAUUUUUGUUUCACAACUGACUUCCUCAAGUACGGUGGCCACUGCUUUGCAUGGCAUUAUACAUGAAGAAUUUCCUGUUUGUGCCGUGUGCAUGUGCGUAUGUGUGCGUGGCCACGUGUGUGUGCCGUGUGCAUACACAUGUUUGUGUAUCUGUGUGCGGGGUAGCGAGGCGG